GUGCGGUCGGCGGCCAUCGGCACCUUCCAGAUAUCACCAGGCUGAACAUCCAGUAUAAUGGCAUGCAGAAUCUGUCCAUUGCAAUAAGGCUGGGGGCACCCCUGCCCUAUGCCACCUGAGGUCUAAGUUCAGCUCCUCGAACGAUGAGCUGCUGUCCACAGACUCGCCAGAGCUCUGGUCACCAUAAUGGUCUUCAUCCCCCGGCUCCCCUGGAGGCACAGACGGUACAGUGGACGGCGCCAGCGAGGUCUCCCUGCUGUCUGACAUGACCAUGUGACUCACAGAGCUGACCUCGCUGUUGGAGUCCACACCUGAAAAAAUGGUUUAAAAAAAAAAUUUUAAAAACCAAGGAACAAAGAGAGAGAAAGCUGAGGAGUGUGAGGUCCCAGCAGAGAGCUUUCUUUGCUACCAUAGCCGAAUGCCAGAUGGGAGAGAGGAGGAGAUGGCUAUUGGGCCUGAAACAGUGGUGACCUAAGGCCCAUGAAGAGGCUGUCCUAUUCCCCACCAUGUGCUCACAAACAUGUUAAAAGAUUCUAUUCUUAGCCAUCCAUGCCAUCCUGACAUUAAACAAACACACAUAGCACAGAAACUCUUCAGCUCAAUCUGGUAAACUGCAAAUAUUACAUAUUUUAUUAGAGGUAUUAUGCAAAGUUAUAUCUCGACCAUAAAUCUUUAAUGAACUUGCAUUAACAUACCAGGAAAAUGACAACUGCUAAAACUGUCUAUAAACAUACUCAUGCUAUGCACUUCAAUGCAUUAAUGCUCAUACACACAGCAGAUAUUAUCAGACAAUAAACAGGUACCUUGGCUUUGUUUACUGAUCCUAGUGCCAGAUCUUUGUAUAUUUGUGUAGUCACAGGAUCAGACUAAGGUAUUUUAAUAAAAAGUCAGGAGAAAUAAAAUAUUUACAUUGGAUUGGGGCAAGAUUUAUCCUUGCAGCUACAGCUUGUCAAAAACUAUUUCGAAAAGCUUGACGUACAGUAAUAGCGUAUACCUUGAGUAUGUCAUUUCACCAAAAGUCUAAUUCCUCUAUCCAUCUCAGUUUUUUCAUGGAGGGUCUCUUGUCAUUGGAUUUCAAAAACCAUGGUCUGAAACUGCCUCAAAUUGCAAAUGCAACAUUCCAGCACAAUCUGGUUAGAGCCUAUAGAAAAACACUCCCAUGAACCAAUUACUCUUACACAGUAUGCAACAACAACAACAAGAAAACCAGAAGGACAGCAAUUUGAAGCCUUGCAUGAGCUACUAUGCCCUCACAACUAACUGUGGUCUAGAUGUAAUUGUUCCAAUAUUUUUUUCAGAUCCACAUAAAUUGGAAGAGUUCCAGGGUGCCUCGACAAGCCCUGGCUGUUUGAAUUUGUUUCAUUAGCCAUACGAGAUUGCAUAUAGCGGGAUUAUUAGGGGACCUUUAUUUAGAACAAGACACAUUUAAUCAAUACACCUCCAGCACAGUCACUGUGCUACUGUAUUCUGUUUAACUCGCUUUCUCCUUUAGAUCCUGUUUCAUAAAUGUUUUACCCUGCCAUGCCCCAGGAAUUGUACAUCAGGAAAUUUCCAUAACACCUACUAUUAUUGAAGGAAUGUGUUUUGUAUUUUUUAUUUAUGUUGGGUUAAUAAUGUUUGUGGGGUGUGUGGAGCUUCAAAUAUGACAUCUAAAGAUGUAUUAAAGAUGUAUACAAAAAUAA